GACGAACGCUGGCGGCGUGCUUAACACAUGCAAGUCGAACGAUGAAGCCUAGCUUGCUAGGUGGAUUAGUGGCGAACGGGUGAGUAAUACGUGAGUGACCUACCUUUGACUCUGGGAUAAGCCUGGGAAACUGGGUCUAAUACCGGAUACGACCAAUCUCCGCAUGGGGUGUUGGUGGAAAGCGUUAUGGAGUGGUUUUAGAUGGGCUCACGGUCUAUCAGCUUGUUGGUGAGGUAAUGGCUUACCAAGGCGACGACGGGUAGCCGGCCUGAGAGGGUGACCGGCCACACUGGGACUGAGACACGGCCCAGACUCCUACGGGAGGCAGCAGUGGGGAAUAUUGCACAAUGGGCGCAAGCCUGAUGCAGCGACGCCGCGUGAGGGAUGACGGCCUUCGGGUUGUAAACCUCUGUUAGCAUCGAAGAAGCGAAAGUGACGGUAGGUGCAGAGAAAGCGCCGGCUAACUACGUGCCAGCAGCCGCGGUAAUACGUAGGGCGCGAGCGUUGUCCGGAAUUAUUGGGCGUAAAGAGCUUGUAGGCGGUUGGUCGCGUCUGCUGUGAAAGGCUGGGGCUUAACCCUGGUUUUGCAGUGGGUACGGGCUAACUAGAGUGCAGUAGGGGAGACUGGAAUUCCUGGUGUAGCGGUGGAAUGCGCAGAUAUCAGGAGGAACACCGAUGGCGAAGGCAGGUCUCUGGGCUGUAACUGACGCUGAGAAGCGAAAGCAUGGGGAGCGAACAGG
rnacentral:rRNA from 1 species